UAGUACAUGCAGUCGAGCGGACAGAUGGGAGCUUGCUCCCUGAUGUUAGCGGCGGACGGGUGAGUAACACGUGGGUAACCUGCCUGUAAGACUGGGAUAACUCCGGGAAACCGGGGCUAAUACCGGAUGGUUGUCUGAACCGCAUGGUUCAGACAUAAAAGGUGGCUUCGGCUACCACUUACAGAUGGACCCGCGGCGCAUUAGCUAGUUGGUGAGGUAACGGCUCACCAAGGCGACGAUGCGUAGCCGACCUGAGAGGGUGAUCGGCCACACUGGGACUGAGACACGGCCCAGACUCCUACGGGAGGCAGCAGUAGGGAAUCUUCCGCAAUGGACGAAAGUCUGACGGAGCAACGCCGCGUGAGUGAUGAAGGUUUUCGGAUCGUAAAGCUCUGUUGUUAGGGAAGAACAAGUGCCGUUCAAAUAGGGCGGCACCUUGACGGUACCUAACCAGAAAGCCACGGCUAACUACGUGCCAGCAGCCGCGGUAAUACGUAGGUGGCAAGCGUUGUCCGGAAUUAUUGGGCGUAAAGGGCUCGCAGGCGGUUUCUUAAGUCUGAUGUGAAAGCCCCCGGCUCAACCGGGGAGGGUCAUUGGAAACUGGGGAACUUGAGUGCAGAAGAGGAGAGUGGAAUUCCACGUGUAGCGGUGAAAUGCGUAGAGAUGUGGAGGAACACCAGUGGCGAAGGCGACUCUCUGGUCUGUAACUGACGCUGAGGAGCGAAAGCGUGGGGAGCGAACAGGAUUAGAUACCCUGGUAGUCCACGCCGUAAACGAUGAGUGCUAAGUGUUAGGGGGUUUCCGCCCCUUAGUGCUGCAGCUAACGCAUUAAGCACUCCGCCUGGGGAGUACGGUCGCAAGACUGAAACUCAAAGGAAUUGACGGGGGCCCGCACAAGCGGUGGAGCAUGUGGUUUAAUUCGAAGCAACGCGAAGAACCUUACCAGGUCUUGACAUCCUCUGACAAUCUUAGAGAUAGGAACCUCCCCUUCGGGGGCAAAGUGACAGG
rnacentral:rRNA from 1 species